GGAAGGGCUGCAGCUCAGUGGUAGAGCAUCUGCCUUGCAUGCAGACGGUCCCAGGUUCAUUCCCUGGUGUUUCCA